rfam:Gossypium arboreum cultivar AKA8401 contig_13380_5, whole genome shotgun sequence.
AAUCUAUGGUGCGGCCAUUUUGAAUAACAUUUCAAAGUGUUCCUAUACCUUAUAGAAGCUUUCCCCUUCCUUCUGUCUAAAGAAAGCAAGCUCUCUUCUUAAUU